CCUACGGGUGGCAGCAGUGGGGAAUAUUGCACAAUGGGGGAAACCCUGAUGCAGCGAAGCCGCGUGAGUGAAGAAGUAAUUCGGUAUGUAAAGCUCUAUCAGCAGGGAAGAAAAUGACGGUACCUGAGUACGAAGCCCCGGCUAACUACGUGCCAGCAGCCGCGGUAAUACGGAGGGCGCAAGCGUUAACCGGAUUUACUGGGUGUAAAGGGAGCGUAGACGGCAUUGCAAGUCUGGAGUGAAAGGCGGGGGCUCAACCCCCGGACUGCUCUGGAAACUGUACGUCUGGAGUGCAGGAGAGGUAAGUGGAAUGCGUAGUGUAGCGGUGAAAUGCGUAGAUAUUAGGAGGAACACCAGUGGCGAAGGCGGCUUACUGGACUGUAACUGACGUUGAGGCUCGAAAGCGUGGGGAGCAAACAGGAUUAGAUACCCUUGUAGUC
rnacentral:rRNA from 1 species